rnacentral:rRNA from 1 species
GACUGUGGGUGCUAAGGUCCAUGGUCGAGAGGGAAAAAGCCCAGACCACCAGAUAAGGUCCCGAAAUUGUGAUUAAGUGUGAAAGGAUGUGGAAAUUCCUUAACAGCCGGGAGGUUGGCUUAGAAGCAGCCAUCCUUUAAAGAUAGCGUAACAGCUCACCGGUCUAAUAGAGUUUCUGCGCCGAAGAUGUAACGGGGCUAAAAUCACAUACCGAAUCUGUGGGUUUAUAAAACUUUCGAGUUUUAUAAGCGGUAGCGGAACGUUCUGUAAGCCUGCGAAGGGAUACCCGUGAGGGAUCCUGGAGGUAUCAGAAGUGCGAAUGCUGACAUAAGUAACGAUAAAUAAAGUGAAAAACUUUAUCGCCGAAAAUCCAAGGGUUUCUGCGCAAGGUUAAUCCGCGCAGAGUUAGUCGGCCCCUAAGGCGAGGGCGAAAGCCGUAGUCGAUGGAAAUAAGGUUAAUAUUCCUUAACCUGAUGGUAGUGACGGAUUUUGUAAGUUGUGAGUUCUUAAUGGAUUGAGCUUGCUGCGAAAAAGUCCCAGGAAAUAGCUCCAUCAUAAGACCGUACCCUAAACCGACACAGGUGGAUUAAUAGAGUAUAUUUAGGCGCUUGAGAGAAUGAUGUUGAAGGAACUCGGCAAAAUGCUUCUGUAACUUCGGAAUAAAGAAGACCUUUUUGUAGGCAACUACUUUAAGGUGGCACAAGCCAGGGAGAAGCGACUGUUUAUCAAAAACACAGGGCUCUGCUAACACGUAAGUGGAUGUAUAGGGUCUGACGCCUGCCCGGUGCUGGAAGGUUAAUGCGAUGGGUGCAAGCUCAUUUCUGAAGCCCCAGUAAACGGCGGCCGUAACUAUAACGGUCCUAAGGUAGCGAAAUUCCUUGUCGGGUAAGUUCCGACCUGCAUGAAUGGCGUAACGAUUUCUCCGCUGUCUCCAACAUCAACUCAGUGAAAUUGAAUUCUCCGUGAAGAUGCGGAGUUCGCGUAGUUAGACGGAAAGACCCCGUGCACCUUUACUGCAACUUUACAUUGGUGUUAGGAAAAACAUAUUUAGCAUAGGAGGGAGACAUUGAAGCAAAGACGUCAGUUUUUGUGGAGUCGCCAGUGAAAUACCUCUUUUGUUUUUCUUGAUAUCUAACUGAUUGCCGUCAUCCGGCAUCAAGACAUUGUAUGGUGGGUAGUUUGACUGGGGCGGUCGCCUCCCAAAUAGUAACGGAGGCGUGCGAAGGUAAGCUCAGAACGGUCAGAAAUCGUUCGUAGAGUGCAAUGGCAUAAGCUUGCCUGACUGCAAGACUGACAAGUCGAGCAGAGUCGAAAGACGGUCAUAGUGAUCCGGUGGUUCUGAGUGGAAGGGCCAUCGCUCAACGGAUAAAAGGUACGCCGGGGAUAACAGGCUGAUACUGCCCAAGAGCUCAUAUCGACGGCAGUGUUUGGCACCUCGAUGUCGGCUCAUCACAUCCUGGGGCUGGAGCAGGUCCCAAGGGUUUGGCUGUUCGC